rnacentral:lncRNA from 10 species
GGGAGGUUGGGGAGGUGGGGGGAAGCGAAGCCCUAAGAUGGGCGGAGAGAAGCAGAUGUGGAGGUGAUGGCGAAGACCCAGAUAUAAGCAGUUGGUGAGUUCCAUGAGGAGACUGCAACUUCUCCACCCUGUGCCCCUCCAGAUCCCUCAUGCUGCUCUGUGUCCUCCAGGGUUGGCCUGUCCAAGUUCAACAGUGGGCUUCCACACCCUCCCACUUCCAGCUGGGUUGGCCAAGGGACCCCACUAAAACAGCAUCCUGCACAAAAUAGAACAUAGCAGGCCGGGCGCAGUGGCUCACACCUGUAAUCCCAGCACUUUGGGAGGCCGAGGAGGGCGGAUCACCUGAGGUCAUGAGUUCGAGACUAGCCUGGUCAACAUGAUGAAAUCCUGUCUGUGCUAAAAAUACAAAAUUUAGUUGGGCAUGGUGGCGUGUGCCUAUAAUUCCAGCUACUUGGGAGGCUGAGGCAGGAGAAUUGCUUGAACACAGGAGGUGGAAGUUGCGGUGAGCCGAGAUCAUGCCACUUCACUCCAGCCUGGGUGACAGAGCGAGACUCCAACUCAGAAAAAAAAAAAAGAAGAAGAAGAAGAACAUAGCACAUAGUGACAUUAGGUAAAAAGUGCUGGAUCAGUAGACUUGAGUUGAUUGGCU